rnacentral:lncRNA from 1 species
CUUUCUUUCUUCCUUCCUUCCUUCCUUCCUUCCUUUCUUUCUUUUUCUUUCUUUUUAGUUUUACUGAAGUAUAGUUAAUUUACAAGGCUGUGAUAUUUUCUGCUGCACAAAAAAGUGACCCAGUGAUACAUAUACACAUAUCCAUUCUCUCUCAGAUUCAUUUCCCACAUAGAUUAUCACAGAAUUCUGUGCCAUACAGCAGGUCCCAUUGGCCAAUCAUUCUGUACCCUUCAGUGUAUGCCAAACCCUCAGCCAAUCCUAAACCCCCAGUCCAUCCCUACCCCCAAACCCCACUGUCCCCUUUGGUAAUUGUAAGUCUUCCAAAGUCUGUGAGUCUAUUUCUGUUCUGCAAAUGAGUUCAUUAUAUCAUUUUUUUAAAAAGAUUCCACAUAUAGGUGAUAUCAUAUGAUGUUUGUCUUUCAUUGUCUAACUUCACGUAGUAUGAUAGCUUCUAGGUCCAUCCAUGUUGCUGUAAAUGGCAUUAUUUCACUCUUAUUUAUGGCUGCGUAAUAUUCCAUUGUAUAUAUGUACCACAUCUUCUUUAUCGAUUCUCCUAUUGAUGGACCUUUAGGUUGCUUCCAUUAAUUGGCUAUUAUAAAUAGUGCUGCAGUGAACAAUGGGGUGCACAUAUCUUUUCAAAUAAGGAUUUUCUCUGGAUACGACGCCCUGGAGUGGGAUUGCUGGAUUGUAUGGUAGUUCUAUUUUCAGUUUUUUAAGGAACCUCCAUGCUGUUUUCAAUAGUGUUUGCCCCAAUGCACAUUCCCACCAACAGUGUAAGAGAGUUCCCUUUUCUCCACAUCCUCUCCAGCACUUAUUAUUUGUAGUCUUUGGGGGCAACAAGGGUGAAUAUGAUGCCAGCUGAGUUGGGUCAGGACUUUCAGAGAAGAACCUUGAAGGCACACACACAUGGCCUCAUCAUGACUUUUGUCUGUUGAAAUAACAAUUUGUCUCUCUAGGCCCUUCUUGCUGACAAAAUAUUAAAAAUGUAUCUUUUUUUUUUUUUUUGGUCUUUUUGCCUUUUCUAGGGCCACUCCUGUGGCAUAAGGAGGUUCCCAGGCUAGGGGUCGAAUCGGAGCUGUAGCCGCCGGCCUACACCACAGCCACAGCCACAGCCACACCAGAUCUGCGCUACGUCUACGACCUACACUACCACAGCUCCCGGCAACGCCGGAUCCUUUAACCCACUAGGCGAGGCCAGGGAUCAAACCUGUGUCCUUGUGCAUGCUAGUCAGAUUCAUUUCUGCGGAGCCACGACGGGAACUCUCUUUUGUAUUUUUCUUUUUUUUAAAAGUCUACAAUGCAUUACUUCAGGACUGGCGGGACAAAUAUUCCAGAUCACGAGGUCCGUGGCAAGGGGGUAGGGAUAAGGGUAUAGUGAGAGACCCGGGAUAAGGAAGGGCUCUUGGGUGACUUCCCGAAAUCCUAGGCCUGCUGGGUGGGCCUUAAGACCUGGAGGCUGGGAGAAGCCGAGCACCCACCAAGAGCACAGAGCCCAGGGCUAAGAGGAGCCUGACCCAGAACCUGACCCUCAGCUACUGGGGCCGGUAUCCUGUGUUUUCACAUCCCCAGGAACUGAAAGUGGCAGUAAUGUGCCGGGCUGCUAGAUGGCAAGUAUUCUCAGUUUCCUGCCUGAGUUAUAAGGAAACCCCCUGGUAGCUGGUAGUAACUGUGACAGCCUUUGUUUACUGAUAGGAUAGGCAGUACUUUCCUUCUCUCUCUCUUGUCUUCUUCGGGCCACACAGCAGCAUAGGGAAGUUCCCAGGCUAGAGGUCAAAUCGGAGCUGCAGAAGACUGUAGUCAGAGGAGCCAGCCAACUGGGUGGCUGACGACAGCCUCCUCCCCUGCAUCUCUGACUCCUGCUCCCCCCAUCACCUUCCCUCUGUGCUCACAGUGGUUUCUCUCCCAUAGCAGGUCAAAAUCUGUCCCAGACAAUCCUGAUCCCUAGGAGAAUUCCAGAAAACGCAUCCUCGGCCCAUACUUGAAUCAUUCGCUAUCCUCAAAUGAACAAGGCUCUUUUACUCCUCCUCUGUGGACUCCUGGCCAAAAAUGCUCUCGCUCUGCCACUUGAAAGUCUUCUUCUAUCCUUUAAGGUUCAGCUCAGAUGUACUCUGGUCCAUAAAGCCCAUGGGGAGAAAAUGUCUCAUGAUUGUUUGCCAAAAUCUUUCUGUAUAUGCCAUGUAUAUAUGCAUAGGCAUAUCUAUAUGUUUUGACACAAAAGACAUACUAUGUAGUACACUCUUCCCAGUGUUUCUAAUAUAUUUUAAAUACGUUUUCCUUACUUUUUCAAAACUGAUAAUUUUACCCAGGCAGAAUUUCGAAUUGUUUCAUAAGCUUCCUCUCCCCCCCCCCCGUAAUCAUUGAAAUUGUUAUUAAAUCUACCUUAAGGUUUAAAAAGUAAUCUGGAGAAAAUGAUUAUUGUACGUAUCCAGUGAACUUCUUCUAAAGAGAGCAUUUCGCAAGCACAGUCAUCCCUCGGUGUCCCCAGGAAACUGGUUCCAGGAGUCCCCACACAAGGUUGGGCCAGGGCUGGGGUUCCCAGCCGGCGGGGGUCAUGCUGGGGCUGGGACAGAGGCAGGUCUGCACAGAACUGUUUACAGCGUUACGCAGGUGGAUGAGGACAGACCCCGGCAGCGUGUUCUCAUCUACAGAGAGAGCAGGGUAUCCCCCGGAAAGCAAGGCCAUCACCAUAGGAAGAGUGGAUCCCUGGAAGGAAGACGUUGGGCCAAGCAAAGCUCACCUCCAUCCUGCAUGUCCUGGUCUUCAGCAGAAAGCAGGGACCUGCAUCACCUGGCUCCUGGGGGUUCGCUGGGAAAACCUCUUCCUGUACCCACUGCUGUCUUGAGCGUUCCGUUGUUGCUAUCAUUGUAACGACUUCCACUUACGUUUUCCCAAGAAAAGAAGUGUCCUGAAAUUUGUGUAUCAAUUUGGGGAGGUCCCUUUGUGGCUCAGCGGUUAACGAGCCCGACUAGGAUCCAUGAGGAUGCGGGUUCGACCCCUGGCCCUGCUCAGUGGGUUAAGGAUCUGGCGUUGCCGUGAGUUGUGGUGUGGCUCUCAGACUCAGCUUGGAUCCUGUGUUGCUGUGGCUCUGGCGUAGGCCGGCAGCUGUAGCUCUGAUUAGACCCCUAGCCUGGGAACCUCCACAUGCCUCAGAUGCAACCCUAAAAAGCAAAAAGCCAAAAGCAACCAACCAAACAAAAGCAUCCGUCUAAAGGAGAUACACCAACAUACUCAAUCACGUACCUGACCAUGAACUUUACACUUAACCUCUUCUGUGUGUACCUGCUUGCUUUUCUCUGCCAUGUGGGCCCUGGUCCUGAUCUACCUUGCUGCCGCUUUGAACGGGGGCUAUUGCGUGCUGCCAACCUGUGGAGCCUUUAACAACGUUCAAAGGUAUGUUUAAGGGAGAACAGGAAGGGUUUCUUAUUUCGUUUUAAAAGUUGGGCACACUGUGUAUCCCGGUGCCCAGUAGGAAGAGCAGCCAGCUCAUCACACUCGUACUUUCCAGUUUGGAGCCCCUCCCAUUCUUGCACAUGUUCUAAUGGUCCGUUACCGCGUGACUUUUGCCUUACAUUUUCUUCUGAUUUUAAAAGGAUCCAUGAGGUAAACACAUCCUGAGAUGACUGCCCAUGAGCCGGGCCCUGUGUCAUCCCACCCCUGGGUGUGGGCAGAAUCUCUGACCUGCUUCACACCAAGAACACACUAAGGGGAUAGGAUGUCACUCCCUGACUGGGUCACAUUCUGUGGCAGAGGGGCAGGAUGCCACUCUCUUUCUCUCAGUUACACCCGCCCUCCACCAUACCUCCAGUCAGAUCUCGUCUCUCUCCACAUACCGCCCAUGUCACUUGCAGCGCCAGGGGGUGAGGUGAGGGGCACUCUCAUCAUACGCAGGAUCAUACGCUGGAAGAUAAGCAUCCUCCAGCUAGGCAACAGCGCGCAGGAGGACACCCCCAGCACCUACAGAGGCUCCUCCGAUGCUCACCGCAUGGCAGCCCCACGAGGGCCAGGGGUAGGGGCAGUGGGGGAACGCCGUUGUAGAAAUAUAAAUGGCCCAUUACUGCAGCCAUCAGAUAAUACGCCAAGGUUCCUGUGAGAAAUCUCUUUCUAACGUUGGGCUAGUGGGCUCUUGACUGUAGCUGAGGACCGGGAGGAAUCUGUCCAUGAAAAUACGCCCCGAAGCGGUACCUGGGUGGCACACGAGGUCACCCAACUCAGUUACACCUGCCCCGGGAGAAGAAGGAACAGAGGCCACAACCACUGCUGUCCUCCCCUGUGGUUCGCUCUGGUAGUUUCACGCCUGCGGUUUCCUCUCUGUGUCCUUCCUCAAAAUGGGAGAGUUCCACAUCCAACUGGGCUUCUGAAAGCACAGUACCUUCCUUCACAGAUGAGGUCCGAGAGCAGCCAGGUGGUACGUGACUGUCGUGUAAAGCCCAUCGAUGGGUGAACGGAUAAAGCAAUUGUGAGGUAUAUCAUACAUGUAUUAUAUAUGUAUAAUCACUAUAUAUAUCAUAUGUAACAAUAAAUACAAUGCAUAUGAUAUGUCAUAUAUCGCCUAUAUAUAUCACACAGACCAUGGAACAUCAUUUCGCCAUAAAAAGAGGGAAAUCCUGCCAUUUCACUGACGACAUGGGGAGGCCUCGAGGGCAUUAUGCUGGUGAACUAAGUCAGGCAGAGAAAGACAAUAAAUAUAAUCCCUCUCAUAGGU